UUUGUGAAUUAUCUUCUAGACAAAUCUGAUGUAGUAUAUGGUGUUUCGUUUUAUUUGGUAAAGUUUUAAUUUUCUUUCUUAAUGAACUUGAUGAGACAAGGAAAUGAGAAGGGUGCUAGGGUUUCUCUUAUGUGUUUGCAAUUGAAUAGCAGAUUCUGGAUUGAGGACGGCUUGAUUCUAUGAAUGUACACGAAAGGAGGGGUAUUUUGAAAUCAUAAAUUUGGAAACACAAAAUAAGGAAGAGUAAUUCAAAUACAUUGCUGAUGUAGCAACCGCUUGUGUAUUGAUAGAGAUGAUGAGGCUUACAUGAAUGUGUCCAGAAAAGCUGUGGGGUUUCUUUUUUCCUGUGAUUGGCGACGAAGAAAGUGAGAUUCGGCACUCUAUUUGUCCCUGUCUGUUUGUUUAGGAAGUAAAGUCUCCCCAGAUUUUCUAUUGCUCUUCUUGAGACAGACAGACAGACAGACAGACAGACAGCCAGUGAAAGUUUUUCAACAGAAGUAAGUAUAUAGAAAAACAGAAGGCACAAAGGAAAAAAAAAUUACAAUAUGUGAAGUCUGCAAUCAUUCAGCAGGCCUGUAUUCUUUUUUGGGUUAUUUUGAAGUCUCAAAAAAUCUAGAACUUAGAUAUCAUUCAGAAGACAUUGAUUAGGCCUGUAAAUAUUCUCACUUUUUCUCUCUUUUCCUUGUAUUUUUUAAUUGGGUUGUUUUGGUUUACCUUUUUAUCAGACAGUUACAGGGUUUAUAGGCCACAUGGUCAUAUUCUUUUACUGUAUUGCGUUACCGCUGAAAAAGCAAAGAAAUUCCAUGUAGGUUGCCUGGAUCUCUGCAAGACGGUACUUUUAGCUGCAGAAGAAAAAAAAAAAGAAAAAGAAAAUCUUUGUUGGAGGCAAUCCACCAGAAAAUAAAGAUAAUAAAAGUACCAAAAACUGUACCUUAAUGUGGAAAACGGAU